CUGGAUCUGCUGUUGGUUCCCUGCUGAUGGUUCAUCCUCUCAUCUCCUUGCUUUUACCCGUUCUCCGGUCAGCCUGGACGCUUCCUGCUCAAGGCUGCAGAUUAUAUAAUCUGCCUGCUGCUGGAUUAAAGCAGCCAGAACAGAUUUUCUCGCAGCGCCGGCUGCUGUUUGACUCCUCCUGCUUGCUUUGCAUUUUGAAGCAGAGAAACAGAUUUAGACACAUGAAGAGAAGCGGCAGGUUUGACUGAAUGUUGAUACAAACCAGAAGAUCUGAGAAAACUGUUCAUUAAACGGGUCGCAGGAUUGGCUGAAACAAUCUGGAGUAAUCCUGUUUAGAGCCGGUAAUAAAGUCCAACGUUGGUCUCCAUGACGAC